UACGUAGGUGGCGAGCGUUGUCCGGAUUUACUGGGCGUAAAGAGCGCGCAGGCGGUCGUUCAAGUCGCGUGUGAAAGCCCCCGGCUCAACUGGGGAGGGUCACGCGAUACUGAUCGACUCGAAGGCAGGAGAGGGUAGUGGAAUUCCCGGUGUAGUGGUGAAAUGCGUAGAUAUCGGGAGGAACACCAGUGGCGAAGGCGACUACCUGGCCUGUUCUUGACGCUGAGACACGAAAGCGUGGGUAGCAAACAGG
rnacentral:rRNA from 1 species